GAUGAACGCUGGCGGCGUGCCUAAUACAUGCAAGUCGAGCGAACGGACGAGAGGCUUGCUUCUCUGAUGUUAGCGGCGGACGGGUGAGUAACACGUGGAUAACCUACCUAUAAGACUGGGAUAACUUCGGGAAACCGGAGCUAAUACCGGAUAAUAUUUUGAACCGCAUGGUUCAAAAGUGAAAGACGGUCUUGCUGUCACUUAUAGAUGGAUCCGCGCUGCAUUAGCUAGUUGGUAAGGUAACGGCUUACCAAGGCAACGAUGCAUAGCCGACCUGAGAGGGUGAUCGGCCACACUAGAACUGAGACACGGUCCAGACUCCUACGGGAGGCAGCAGUAGGGAAUCUUCCGCAAUGGGCGAAAGCCUGACGGAGCAACGCCGCGUGAGUGAUGAAGGUCUUCGGAUCGUAAAACUCUGUUAUUAGGGAAGAACAUAUGUGUAAGUAACUGUGCACAUCUUGACGGUACCUAAUCAGAAAGCCACGGCUAACUACGUG
rnacentral:rRNA from 1 species